rnacentral:rRNA from 1 species
GACGAACGCUGGCGGCGUGCUUAACACAUGCAAGUCGAACGGAAAGGCCCUGCUUGCCGGGUACUCGAGUGGCGAACGGGUGAGUAACACGUGGGUGAUCUGCCCUGCACUUCGGGAUAAGCCUGGGAAACUGGGUCUAAUACCGGAUAGUAGCCAUUUUUAGUGUGAUGGUUGGAAAGUUUUUUCGGUGUAGGGUGAGCUCGCGGCCUAUCAGCUUGUUGGUGGGGUAAUGGCCUACCAAGGCGGCGACGGGUAGCCGGCCUGAGAGGGUGGACGGCCACAUUGGGACUGAGAUACGGCCCAGACUGCGACGGGGGGCAGCAGUGGGGAAUAGUGCACAAUGGGCGCAAGCCUGAUGCAGCGACGCCGCGGGGGGGAGGACGGCCGUCGGGUUGUAAACUCCUUUCGCUAGGGACGAAGCGUUUUGUGACGGUACCUAGAGAAGAAGCACCGGCUAACUACGUG